GCUGGACGUAUCACAAGUGCGAAUGCUGACAUAAGUAACGAUAAAACGGGUGAAAAACCCGUUCGCCGGAAGACCAAGGGUUCCUGUCCAACGUUAAUCGGGGCAGGGUGAGUCGGCUCCUAAGGCGAGGCUGAAAAGCGUAGUCGAUGGGAAACAGGUUAAUAUUCCUGUACUUGGUAAAGCUGCGAUGUGGGGACGGAGUAGGUUAGGUUAUCGCACUGUUGGAUAUGUGCGUUUAAGUUGGUAGGUGGGAAGUUUAGGCAAAUCCGGACUUCCUUAACACAGAGAGAUGAUGACGAGGCUCUACGGAGCUGAAGUAACUGAUACCACACUUCCAGGAAAAGCCACUAAGCGAAAGGCUUUACUAAACCGUACUGAAAACCGACACAGGUGGUCAGGUAGAGAAUACUCAGGCGCUUGAGAGAACUCGGGUGAAGGAACUAGGCAAAAUAGCACCGUAACUUCGGGAGAAGGUGCGCCGGCGUAGAUUGUAAGGGCUAGCCCCUGAAGGUUGAACCGGUCGAAGAUACCAGCUGGCUGCAACUGUUUAUUAAAAACACAGCACUCUGCAAACACGAAAGUGGAGGUAUAGGGUGUGAUGCCUGCCCGGUGCUGGAAGGUUAAUUGAUGGUGUCAUCGAAAGAGAAGCACCUGAUCGAAGCCCCAGUAAACGGCGGCCGUAACUAUAACGGUCCUAAGGUAGCGAAAUUCCUUGUCGGGUAAGUUCCGACCUGCACGAAUGGCAUAAUGAUGGCCAGGCUGUCUCCACCCGAGACUCAGUGAAAUUGAAAUCGCCGUGAAGAUGCGGUGUACCCGCGGCUAGACGGAAAGACCCCGUGAACCUUUACUAUAGCUUGACACUGAACAUUGAAUUUUGAUGUGUAGGAUAGGUGGGAGACUUAGAAGUAGGAACGCCAGUUUCUAUGGAGUCAUCCUUGAAAUACCACCCUUUAACGUUUGAUGUUCUAACGAAGACUACGGAACGUGGUCUCGGACAGUGUCUGGUGGGUAGUUUGACUGGGGCGGUCUCCUCCCAAAGCGUAACGGAGGAGCACGAAGGUUUGCUAAUCACGGUCGGACAUCGUGAGGUUAGUGCAAUGGUAUAAGCAAGCUUAACUGCGAGACAGACAAGUCGAGCAGGUACGAAAGUAGGUCAUAGUGAUCCGGUGGUUCUGAAUGGAAGGGCCAUCGCUCAACGGAUAAAAGGUACUCCGGGGAUAACAGGCUGAUACCGCCCAAGAGUUCAUAUCGACGGCGGUGUUUGGCACCUCGAUGUCGGCUCAUCACAUCCUGGGGCUGAAGUAGGUCCCAAGGGUAUGGCUGUUCGCCAUUUAAAGUGGUACGCGAGCUGGGUUUAGAACGUCGUGAGACAGUUCGGUCCCUAUCUGCCGUGGGCGUAGGA
rnacentral:rRNA from 1 species